GGGGAAUAUUGCACAAUGGGCGCAAGCCUGAUGCAGCCAUGCCGCGUGUGUGAAGAAGGCCUUCGGGUUGUAAAGCACUUUCAGCGGGGAGGAAGGCAAUACGGUUAAUAACCGUGUUGAUUGACGUUACCCGCAGAAGAAGCACCGGCUAACUCCGUGCCAGCAGCCGCGGUAAUACGGAGGGUGCAAGCGUUAAUCGGAAUUACUGGGCGUAAAGCGCACGCAGGCGGUCUGUCAAGUCGGAUGUGAAAUCCCCGGGCUCAACCUGGGAACUGCAUUCGAAACUGGCAGGCUUGAGUCUUGUAGAGGGGGGUAGAAUUCCAGGUGUAGCGGUGAAAUGCGUAGAGAUCUGGAGGAAUACCGGUGGCGAAGGCGGCCCCCUGGACAAAGACUGACGCUCAGGUGCGAAAGCGUGGGGAGCAAAC
rnacentral:rRNA from 1 species